AAUAGAGACCUGUGAUGUUUUGCUUAAAGGUCAUCCAAUCUGGGCCCUGCACC
rnacentral:pre_miRNA from 10 species